rnacentral:rRNA from 1 species
AGAGUUUGAUCCUGGGUCAGAUUGAACGCUAGCGGGAAGCCUUACAUGCAAGUCGAACGGCAGCACAGUAGGAGCUUGCUCCUUGGGUGGCGAGUGCCGGACGGGUAAGGAAUACAUCGGAAUCUACUCUGUCGUGGGGGAUAACGUAGGGAAACUUACGCUAAUACCGCAUACGACCUACGGGUGAAAGCAGGGGAUCUUCGGACCUUGCGCGAUUGAAUGGGCCGAUGUCGGAUUAGCUAGUUGGCGGGGAAAAGGCCCACCAAGGCGACGAUCCGUAGCUGGUCUGAGAGGACGAUCAGCCACACUGGAACUGAGACACGGUCCAGACUCCUACGGGAGGCAGCAGUGGGGAAUAAUGGACAAUGGGCGCAAGCCUGAUCCAGCCAUAACGCGUGGGUGAAGAAGGCCUUCGGGUUGUAAAGCCCUUUUGUUGGGAAAGAAAUCCCAGUUGGCUAAUACCCGGUUGGGAUGACGGUACCCAAAGAAUAAGCACCGGCUAACUUCGUCAGCAGCCGCGGUAAUACGAAGGGUGCAAGCGUUACUCGGAAUUACUGGGCGUAAAGCGUGCGUAGGUGGUCGUUUUAAGUCCGUUGUGAAAGCCCUGGGCUCAACCUGGGAACUGCAGUGGAUACUGGGCGACUAGAGUGUGGUAGAGGGUAGCGGAAUUCCUGGUGUAGCAGUGAAAUGCGUAGAGAUCAGGAGGAACAUCCAUGGCGAAGGCAGCUACCUGGACCAACACUGACACUGAGGGCCGAAACCGUGGGGGAGCAAAAGGCUUAGAUACCCUGGUAGUCCCCGCCCUAAACGAGUCAACUGCUGUUGGCCUUCGGGCCUUGGUAGCGCAGCUAAAACGCGUGGAGUUGGCCGCCUGGGGAGUACGGUCGCAAGAUUAAAACUCAAAGGAAUUGACGGGGACCCGC